rnacentral:rRNA from 1 species
AUUGAACGCUGGCGGCAGGCUUAACACAUGCAAGUCGAGCGGGGGAAGGUAGCUUGCUACCGGACCUAGCGGCGGACGGGUGAGUAAUGCUUAGGAAUCUGCCUAUUAGUGGGGGACAACAUCUCGAAAGGGAUGCUAAUACCGCAUACGUCCUACGGGAGAAAGCAGGGGAUCUUCGGACCUUGCGCUAAUAGAUGAGCCUAAGUCGGAUUAGCUAGUUGGUGGGGUAAAGGCCUACCAAGGCGACGAUCUGUAGCGGGUCUGAGAGGAUGAUCCGCCACACUGGGACUGGGACACGGCCCAGACUCCUACGGGAGACAGCAGUGGGGAAUAUUGGACAAUGGGGGGAACCCUGAUCUAGCCAUGCCGCGUGUGUGAAGAAGGCCUUAUGGUUGUAAAGCACUUUAAGCGAGGAGGAGGCUACUUUAGUUAAUACCUAGAGAUAGUGGACGUUACUCGCAGAAUAAGCACCGGCUAACUCUGUGCCAGCCGCCGCGGUAA